CGCUCGACUCUCAGCUUUCCAUCUUCAUCCUUCGUCUUCUUCGUUCAGUCUUCUUCCUUCUUCGCUCGACGCUUGCCCAGCUUGGCUCAAAGUUCAGAUCUGAGUAAAAAGCAAGAAACCAAUUGCUCAGGUCCAGCUUCCAGAGUCAGAUCCUCCCAUUGACGUUUCCUUUGGCAUCGUUCUCAUCUCCAAAGUCCUGUAGUUGCCUUCGUUUUUCGCUCAGGACUUCGAAACGGAUCUGCGGUUCUAGAACUGCGCCGUCGCCGCCCUUCAGGAAGUUGUCGAAGCUUAUCUGGUCUGUCUUUUCGAGGACACUAACCUGUGUGCCAUUCACGCUAAGAGGAAAAUCCUUAUCCUGGGUAGGGAUUCAAUCUUGCGCCUCAUGCUCGGACUUCUAUUUCUACUUUUUAUAUUCAGGGGCGGACGGUCAAUUAUCUUGAAGUGUGGAUAUAUUCGACAUUCUUCUUCCAAUCUCGCAUAAAGAUUUUGUUACCUUAUGCUGCUACAAGGUAUGCUAUCCCUAAAUCUAUUCUCUUUCUGCAAUAAGCCUUUGGCUGGCCCUUUCUUUAUUUCAAAUUUGAUGGGAUUCCAUCCCGAGAAAAAUGGGCACAAAAGAAAGUGUAACGACAUUUGUCAUUAACUAAUCAUAAAUCCAUAUAAUCAA